AGGGAAUUAGUCCAACAAAGACCUCUGAUUUCGGCUCAGAAAACUGUGGUUAGAAUCCACAACUCCCUU
rnacentral:tRNA from 1 species